CGGCGCGGUCCGGAGCUGGACCUGGGCCCUCCGCUGCCGCACUGUGGGCGUGGAGCAGCAGCGGGCCUCUCCCUGAGUGACGGCGGGGGUCCUGAUGGACGUCGCGAAGCAACGCACUUAGAAAAAAGAAAAGACGGCCCCUGCAGGCCUGCCUGGUGCCCCGGCGCUGAGCGUGUUUGCCGCCCUCACGCCCGUUCCUUUUUUUGGAAGAACUUUCUUUUAUGCAUGCGAAUCUUUCCUCAAUUACCUGCAUGGAAUGCCAGGCCUCCAAGACCACCUGAGACAGCACAGGCCCUCACUGCUGCUACUCUGCUACUUUCAAAACCCACUAAGCUAUGCAGGAUUUACAAAAGUUUUCAAUGGAAGUGAUCUCCACUGGAGCCUGUAGCAUUAUCCUACACAGACGGGAUUCUCAGGCAGGCUCUCUCCGUGUGCUGGUUCUCUGCAGCUCCAGGAUUCAUCACCAAUCAGUUUAGCAAAAAAUUCACAGAAAAAGGGGGAAAUGUCACUAAUAGUUUGUCUGUGGACUGGCAUUUGGAAAUCACUGGCAUCCAGAGGAUGGGAUAUGUCUAUCCAGUGGAUAUGUAAAAACAGCUACCAUGGAUUUGCAGGAAACACCUAGCAGGAAAGAUGAAUCAUUAAAAUAGCAAACAUCCCUAGACCACUAAUGAAUGGCAAGCCCGCUACACCAGAACUCAGAAGACCUACAGCUGUACAGAAAACCAGAGACCGCAUAUAUAUGGAGAAUGCAAGUUCAUCCUGGCCAGGCCACUGUAGCCCCACUUGAGAGGAACUGCAUCUGAAGAGCUCUCUCAGGAGCACCCUGCACUUCCUAGUCCAUAAAUCAUCUUAAAUAGUUUUUAAAUUUCCAGUGUUUAUGAAAUUUUAAGAAACUAUAUCAAGUGAGGCAUAUUUCCACACAUCUCUGCAUUCACAUCACCUUAAUGUGCGCAUAAAUCCUUACACAACAGGGCUCUCAACUUUACACUGGACUGGGUCCACAGCCAUGACGAAGGCGUUAUGGGCAUCUUUUGGAAACUUACAGGAAAAGACAGGGAGCACCCUGAUUUUCAUGGGCUGAUUGACAUGAAGACCUGUGUUUUGGGCUUUGAGAAGUUUUUAUUGGAAGCAGAGAAUGCAUUGCAUCCAAAAAAUGCAAUGGAUGGCAACUUGUCUCUUUUAUGACCUUGUAAUACAUCAGAACCCUUUGAGAAAAGUGUUUUGGGUGGCAGCAGAAUAAACUACUUUUAUGAGAGAAGACAGUA